rnacentral:lncRNA from 1 species
UGAAAUAUAGAUUUUCUCGACGUAAGUCCUUGACGAAAGUUGUUCUACGCGUUGGGCUCAUCAUCGUGGUAUAAUUUGUUUUAUCGAUUGCGUAGCAUAUCACAUUUUAGAGUUGGGACAGCAGGGGUUUGAAUAUAUUUGAAGGUUUUGAGGUGAAUUACGAACCUAAGAUCGAGGUAAGACCCUUCUUUCAUCGACUCUAGCUUUUAUAAGCAGCAAAUAGCAAUUUGCGACGGAAAUACAUAUCUUUUAUUGUAUUGUCAUGGUAUCUUUUAUUUUAUGUGUUGAUUAUGGUCCUACCUUGUUGUAGUAUCGAGGGAGUUAUGAGUUAAAGUCUUUAAGCCACAUGAAUUUAGCGAAAAAGGUAUGUUAAGGCUAUUCCCUACUUACGACAUGUUCCUUAAUAUACUUGAUAUACUUGUAGUCGUUAUUGUUGAUUAUUGGUUGCUCAGGUUGAUAUAAUCCUCCCUUGUCGGGAUUCUUAUUCAGUUUGUAGCGUCCUUAUGUUGGACACGACUUAGAGGCUAUUUGUACAGGUUGCUUAGAUUGCUCGCUUUUAACGAUUUGAUUGUUAUUAUUGCCGUUGGGGCUAUUCUGGUUAGCUGCAG